rnacentral:sRNA from 1 species
GCUGGGUGCGGUGAUGCACACCUGUAAUCCCAGUGGCGGGGGAGGCUGAGUCAGGAGGAUCAUGAGUUCAAAGCCAGCUUCAACAAAAGCAAGCCGCUAAGCUACUCAGUGAGACCCUGUCUCUA